rnacentral:tRNA from 1 species
GAAUCGAACCUGGGUCUGCUCGGCCACAACGAGCUGUACUAACCACUAUACUA